UAUAUUUUAGUUUUUAGGAACAUUAGAUUUUGAGUCUGAGGGAAAUAACUCGUAGUUAUUAAAUAUAA
rnacentral:tRNA from 1 species